CUCAGAGCAGUCAUGGAGAAUCCGAAGCAUUCUGUGUUCUGUAGAGCUCCUCUGGCAAACAAAACGAAGUGCCAAACAGUGCUUGCUGCAGGGUAUUUUUAGAGCCAUAACUGAGAGCUUGUUAGCUAAGACCAAUUGGGCUUUCCUCGCCAAAAAAGGAAGUGUUAUUCCAUUACUAGCGUCAUGGAGCUACCUCUGCACAUCAGACUUCAGGCCAUGAACAAACUUGAAAUGUCUAAAAGGAGCCCAGAUGUCAGAAGAGGUGUCUUCUGGGAGCCACUGGGCGGUUGACAAGGCUCCAGGAAGAGCUCUGGUUCAUGCUGCUAACAGCCAAGGAAGGAUGGGCCCUUCAGCUUCCCUCUUUCAGUUUGAAAUAUCCCAUGUCCCUGGAAGGCUUAGCUCCUUUUUGAAUUGUGAAGGAGAAGUGGAAUUGGGUUUUUCCAGUUUAGCUUUGUAGUGUAUGAGAGGAGAGUUUAAAAGAUUCUGGGUUGCGUUGGACCCUUGUUUUGCUUUAAGAGAUUCCUAAGCAUGAGUGUCCUCUGCAUGUAUUUCACUCCCUACCUGCAACUGCUCACUUAUAAUGUCUUCCUCAGCACCCCUACCCCCCAAACAGGCUCCAUGGCCUGUGGAAAGAAAAGACAGUGUCUGACACAGGAUGGCAGAACAGGCUAACACGCCCAAACUGUGGGUGGGGAAGAGGAACCUUACUUUCUGCCAACCUCAGUAAGAACGCAUGAGCUGGCAGGAUCUUCAGGUCUGCACCAUCCUUUUCAUACAUAUAUUCCUUUAAAUGCAGCACACUGAUUAUGUACAGUCAUCUUGAUGGCUGGAAGGAAAAGAAGGAUGUUUUGCUGUUUUGGCCAAUAUUUUCAGAAUGUAUAAGGUGUAUUGAUCUAGCAGUUAUUUAAGUAUUUAAUGGAAUAGACUUGAGCCUUUAAUUUCUUUGCAAUAUAGGUGAUAGUUGGAGUUAAGUAAUCAUUACUUAAAGCUGUUUGGCAAUAAAAUGAGAAGCUUUAUUUCUGAGGUUGGAGACCAAAUGCUCUCUUUCCUUUUUAGGAAACACUAUUAAGAUGUUCAUAGAAUAUGGCAUUGAAGCAAGCAGUUUGCAUGGAUGUUUUGGAUUGGAGCACAAUAUUUAGGCAUUUUUCCUAUUCUCUGAUAAUGUCUCCUCACUCUUGUGUUGAAUUUUCUCUUUGCACGUUUGAAAUGUUUUACAGGAAUACAUUAGGACUUUUUUUCUGCUGAGAACUUCCAGGGGACUGCCGUUCUACCAGAGUGUGUCUCUUCUCCCCGAGGGACAAUGAAACAGCUGGCCAUGUCCCUAGCGGAAGCCCAUACUUUGUCCAAGUGCAAGGCCAUCGGCCCUUCCUGGCACCAUUAGGGAGGAGCAUAAAUGUGCUCCUACCAGAGGGCACUUUUUUUAUUUUGAUGCAGUAAAGAAAGUAAACACAAAGCACCAAGGAGAGUAAAUUUUGCUGGAACAGCCUGGAAAUUUUGCAUGAGAUGCAAACAAGUACCUUGGAGUAUUCUGUUAUUCUUGGAAAGUUCAAAUAUACAGGGACAAGAAGCUUGCUACUACAUAGAAAGGCUCUAAGCAGGGUUUUUGUCCAGAAAAUCAUCUACUAAGUGAUCAGCAACUGUUCUGGAGGAAAGAAAAACAUUUUAGAGUUUCUAAAAUCUCUUUUUAAAGGUUUUAUGCAAGUGUUCAUUAAAAAAUGUGUGAUCAACCAGGUGUGGUGGUACAUGCCUGUAAUCCCAGCUACCUGGGAAGCUGAGGCAAGAGAAUCAUAAGUUUAAGGCUAACCUGGGCAAUUUAGACCCUGUAUUAAAAUAAAAAAUUAAAGGGUUGGGGAUUUAGCUCAGUGACAGAGUGCUCCUGGAUUCAAUCCCCAGUACUAGAGGGGAAAAAAAGAAAAAAGGGAAAUAUGGAAAUAUCUUAAAGGACAGUUUUACCUUAGUCCUCUAUUGAAAAAUUUCCCCCACAUUUCAGAGCUCAGGAUCCUGAGACUCUUAUUUGCCAAAAAAAUAAGCAAACAAGCAAUAAAACGUUUUUAAGGGUUGAGGGAUAUAGCCCAGUGAUAGAGUGCUUUGCUAGCAUGUGCCAGGCCCUGGGUUUGAUGCUCAGCACUGCAAAACAAAACCAAAAACCAAACACAACCACCACCAAAACAAACAAACAAACAAAACAAACAAACCUUAAAGAUAGCAGGAAAAGGAGGUAGUGUUGAGUGUGGUUCACCUGUUUUCUGCGAGUCUGGCGUAGUGUCAAGAUUAAGACGGUGUAGUUCAAGUUAAUAUCAUGGGUGUCCUACAACACCAGACAUAACUUUUAAUAGUUCAUGGUAAGGAGCACACUGAAUCUAUAGUUCUUGAUUGCUUUAUAUGACAUUAAUUUAACACUGAUAAACAUUAACUUUUUGUAAAGGAGUGACUUUGUUCUGCAGUGUUUGUGUUAGGAAUCUAGCUUUUAUAAUGUUAACUUUUCAACGUAUGAUACCUUUCCUAUUUUUUGUGUGUGUUUUCUUUCCCUGGGAGUGGGCGCGGGUAAGAUUUCAGAAGUGGAAUGUAACAUGUUAGAGGUGUGCACAAAACUAUUUUGCAUGGUUUUUGUUCAUUUGGUAUUUUUUUGUUUUUGUUUUUUGGCCCGUGUGAAUUCUACUUUUUAGUAAAAUAAAACUCAAAAAAGGAUGUGCAAAUAACAUAUUUUUCUGUGUAUAGUUUUUUCAUGUGACACCAAAAGUAGUUUACUUCUAGAUGGCCAUAAAUAACAGUCUGAGACAAAACUAAGCUUCCUAAGAACAAGAAAUAUAGUUCACUUCUUCUAUUGCUCAAUAGAAGUUUAAUCAUCUUAUUUUAACAGAAAGAUUUAUAUGUAAUACAAACAUCUUGCAUAAAGGAAUUUACCAGGUAUAUAGUAAGCUAAAGACUAAGCCUUGCUUUGUAUUUUCACCAAGGUUUGUUUAGUUACUUGGUAGCCAAAUAUUUCAAAUUCAUUUAUUUUUUAUUCUGCUCUAAAUGUCUUUAUAGCUAGAAAUGUUGCUAUAUUUCGUCCCAUUUUGUUUGUCUUCAAAUAAAGUCAGAGUAAAAUCCUCAUAACAUUAAAAAAAAUAAUGAAAACCCUUCUGAAGUACCAUGCUUAACAAAACCAAUUCAUUCUUUUUUAAGAUACUCUUUCUUAAGCAUUUCAUAAGACUACAUCACAUACUACCAGAGAAAUGAAAAGUUGUGCUGCAGUUGUGUACAAUCACUCAAAAUGCAUUCUGCUGUCAUACAUA
rnacentral:lncRNA from 1 species